GUCUAUGGCCAUUACCCUAAACAUGCCUGAUCUUGUCUGAUCUCAGAAGCUAAGCAAGGUCAGGUCUGGUUAGUACUUGGAUGGGAGACCCCCCAAUAAAGUGUCUGCAUUUGCCU
rnacentral:rRNA from 1 species